GAAAUGCGAUACGUAAUGCGAAUUGCAGAAUUCAGUGAAUCAUCAAAUCUUUGAACGCAACUUGCGCCGUUGGGAAAAGCCCUGACGGCAUACUUCUCUGAGUAUCGUUUCAAACCAAACUCACCUGCGUGCUUGAAUAAGGUAACGCUUUCGGUGGAGACUGAGAGUCAUGGGCUAUUAAACGACCAUGUCUCUUUAAAUGAAUGGCGCUUAAGAUCAACGCGUUGAGACCGCAAGGUUUCACCACGCUGAUGUUUGAUAAAAUUCACUUCGGUGGAUAAAUUCAUCAUCGGUACUGGUGCGUUGUGUCGAAAGCGAUACAAAGACAACAGAUUCGUCGAGAGGCUUGUCCUUUCAACUUUUCUUGACUCUGAUCUCAGAUGAAGUAAGAUUACCCGCC
rnacentral:misc_RNA from 1 species